CCUACGUGUGGCUGCAGUGAGGAAUAUUGGUCAAUGGGCGGGAGCCUGAACCAGCCAAGUCGCGUGAGGGAUGACGGCCCUAUGGGUUGUAAACCUCUUUUGCCGGGGAGCAAAGUGCCGCACGUGUGCGGUUUGGAGAGUACCCGGAGAAAAAGCAUCGGCUACCUCCGUGCCAGCAGCCGCGGUAAUACGGAGGAUGCGAGCGUUAUCCGGAUUUAUUGGGUUUAAGGGGUGCGUAGGCGGACGCUUAAGUCCGCGGUAAAAUUUCGGGGUACAACCUCGUCGCGCCGUUGAAACUGGGUGCCUUGAGUGUGCGAGAAGUACGCGGAAGGCGGGGGGUAGCGGUGAAAUGCAUAGAUAUCACGCAGAACUCAGAUGGCGAAGGCAGCGUACCGGCGCCCAACUGACGCUGAGGCACGAAGGCGCGGGUAUCGAACAGGAUUAGAUACCCUAGUAGUC
rnacentral:rRNA from 1 species